UACAGAGGGUGCAAGCGUUGUUCGGAAUUAUUGGGCGUAAAGGGUGCGUAGGCGGCGCGGUAAGUCGGGUGUGAAAUCUCGGAGCUUAACUCCGAAACUGCAUUCGAUACUGGCGACCUUGAGUCCGGGAGAGGUGAGUGGAACUGCGAGUGUAGAGGUGAAAUUCGUAGAUAUUCGCAAGAACACCAGUGGCGAAGGCGGCUCACUGGCCCGGUACUGACGCUGAGGUGCGAAAGCGUGGGGAGCAAACAGG
rnacentral:rRNA from 1 species